rnacentral:rRNA from 1 species
GACGAACGCUGGCGGCGUGCCUAAUACAUGCAAGUCGAACGCAGUGGGGACGGGUGAGUAACACGUGGGUAACCUCCCCUCAGAGGGGAUAACACUUGGAAACAGGUGCUAAACCGAUACUGAUGGAUGGACCCGCGGUGCAUUAGCUAGUUGGUGGGGUAACGGCUCACCAAGGCCACGAUGCAUAGCCAACCCGAGGGGGGGAUCGAGAGCAAUGCGACUGAGACACGGCCCAGACUGCGACGGGAGGAAGCAGUGGGGAAUCGUCGGCAAUGGACGAAAGUCUGAACGACGCACGCAGCGUGAGUGAAGAAGGUUUUCGGAUCGAAAAACUCUGUUGUUAGAGAAGCGGUAUCUAACCAGAAAGCCACGGCUAACUCCGUGCCAGCAGCCGCGGUAAUAC